rnacentral:rRNA from 1 species
CGAUGCCUAAGACAUGCAAGUCGAACGAAGUAGCCUAAUGAAGAUGGAGUGCUUGCACAAAGUUGGAUUUAGAUUCUACUUAGUGGCAGACGGGUGAGGUAACACGUGGGUAAUCUACCUCAGAGACUGGGAGAACGUUUAGAAAUGAACGCUAAUACCGGAUGAUUUAUAAAUGGAUAACUAUUUAUACUAAAAGGAGCUUCGGCUUCACUUUGAGAUGAGCUUGCGGUGUAUUAGCUAGUUGGUAGGGUAAUGGCCUACCAAGGCAACGAUGCAUAUCCGAGCUGAGAGGCUGAUCGGACACAUUGGGACUGAGACACGGCCCAGACUCCUACGGGAGACAGCAGUUAGGAAUAUUCGUCAAUGGGGGAAACCCUGAACGAGCAAUGCCGCGUGAGUGAUGAAGGUCUUAUAGAUUGUAAAACUCUGUUGUAAAGGAAGAACGUCCAUUAUAGGAAAUGAUAGUGGAGUGACGGUACUUUACCAGAGAGCCCCGGCUAACUACGUGCCAGCCGCCGC